UUAGAGUUUGAUCCUGGCUCAGGAUGAACGCUAGCGGCAGGCUUAACACAUGCAAGUCGAGGGGCAGCGAGAUCAGUGCUUGCACUGAUUGUCGGCGACCGGCGCACGGGUGCGUAACGCGUAUGCAACCUACCCAUUACAGGGGGAUAACACUGAGAAAUCGGUACUAAUACCCCAUAACAUCCAGGGAGGCAUCUUCUUGGGUUGAAAACUCCGGUGGUAAUGGAUGGGCAUGCGUUGUAUUAGUUAGUUGGUGGGGUAACGGCUCACCAAGACAACGAUACAUAGGGGGACUGAGAGGUUAACCCCCCACAUUGGUACUGAGACACGGACCAAACUCCUACGGGAGGCAGCAGUGAGGAAUAUUGGUCAAUGGACGCAAGUCUGAACCAGCCAUGCCGCGUGCAGGAAGACGGCUCUAUGAGUUGUAAACUGCUUUUGUACGAGGGUAAACGCAGAUACGCGUAUCUGUCUGAAAGUAUCGUACGAAUAAGGAUCGGCUAACUCCGUGCCAGCAGCCGCGGUAAUACGGAGGAUUCAAGCGUUAUCCGGAUUUAUUGGGUUUAAAGGGUGCGUAGGCGGUCGGAUAAGUUAGAGGUGAAAUCCCGGGGCUCAACUUCGGAAUUGCCUCUGAUACUGUUCGGCUAGAGAGUAGUUGCGGUAGGCGGAAUGUAAGGUGUAGCGGUGAAAUGCUUAGAGAUCAUACAGAACACCGAUUGCGAAGGCAGCUUACCAAGCUACUUCUGACGUUGAGGCACGAAAGCGUGGGGAGCAAACAGGAUUAGAUACCCUGGUAGUCCACGCAGUAAACGAUGAUAACUCGUUGUCGGCGAUACAGUGUCGGUGACUAAGCGGAAGCGAUAAGUUAUCCACCUGGGGAGUACGUUCGCAAGAAUGAAACUCAAAGGAAUUGACGGGGGCCCGCACAAGCGGAGGAACAUGUGGUUUAAUUCGAUGAUACGUGAGGAACCUUACCCGGGCUUGAAAGUUAGUGACGGAUCUUGAAAGAGGUCUUCCCUUCGGGGCACGAAACUAGGUGCUGCAUGGUUGUCGUCAGCUCGUGCCGUGAGGUGUCGGGUUAAGUCCCAUAACGAGCGCAACCCCUACCGUUAGUUGCCAGCAGGUCAAGCUGGGCACUCUGACGGGACUGCCGGUGUAAGCCGAGAGGAAGGUGGGGAUGACGUCAAAUCAGCACGGCCCUUACGUCCGGGGCUACACACGUGUUACAAUGGCAGGUACAGAGGGCAGCUACCCAGCGAUGGGAUGCGAAUCUCGAAAGCCUGUCUCAGUUCGGAUUGGAGGCUGAAACCCGCCUCCAUGAAGUUGGAUUCGCUAGUAAUCGCGCAUCAGCCAUGGCGCGGUGAAUACGUUCCCGGGCCUUGUACACACCGCCCGUCAAG
rnacentral:rRNA from 1 species